GCAGCUUUAUUGAGGUAGAAUCGACAAAUAGAAAUUGUAUAUAUUUACUUUGUACAAUGUAAUUUUAAGGUGUGCAGUGUGAUGACUCAAUGUAUGUAUAUGUUUUCCAGUGGGGAGAACACUUAGGAUCUACUCUCAGCAAAUUUCAAGAAGCAAACAAUACAGUGUUAUUUACUGUAGUCACUGUGCUGGACAUCAGAUCCCCAGAACUUACUCUUCUUAUAACUGAGGUUGUACCGACUCCCAGCAGCCGCCAUUCUACUCCAGGCUCCCAGAGGUCCACUUUUUUAGAUUCUACAUAUUAGUGAGGUCAUACAGUAUUUGCCCUUGUGUCUGGCUUAUUUCACUUAGCGUAAUGCCCUCCAGGUUCAUCUACGUUGUGGCAAAUGGGAGGAUUUCCUUCCCUUUCACUCUUUAUCAUAACAGAAACAUGUUCUCCAUCUGAACUUAGCCUCUGAACCUCAGAGACAUAACUAAUGUCCAAAGGCAAUGAUCCAGAAAGGCCCACAAUGGCCACCUUCUGGCUACAGGAGCUCUCGUGAAACCCAGUGCAACCCUGACACUCAGUUUGGCAAAGUGACAACUUUUUCUCCCCUAACAGAAUGGAACAGGUAGUCCUGAAUUUAACCCUCUUACCAGCUGUGGACCUUUGACUACCAUCUCAUGAUCCUUAAGUUACAAACAUCCUGGGAAAAGUCAAACAUGCCAGGGACAGUUGAACAGAAAUUUCAGGAAGUUCUCCCAUUUUUAAUGACUCAUUUUUAAUGAGCUGCUAAAUUACCCUGAGAUAACUUUCUUUUGGACUUCUUAUGGCUUAAACUGCUGUUGGGUGGGUAUUCUAUGGAGGGAAAAAAUCCUAACAGGGUGUGGGAUUGACCAAGGGUUUCUUACUUGCACAUAAAAAUCUUUUAAUUUUUUAAAAUUUUAUUCCAUUAUUAUUAUUAUUAUUAUUAUAUCAUUAUUUGCACACAUAAUUCUUUAUCAAAUUACCAGUGUACAUUUGGGUUUACUUUAAUUUCUGUUCAUAUCAGUUCUAUUAAAAUCAGGAAGAAGGAAAAA